rnacentral:tRNA from 1 species
AAAAAAUUGGUGUAAUGCACGUAAAAGUGUCGCUUUUAAGGAACUUAGGUAUUUUUUG